rnacentral:rRNA from 1 species
UAACACAUGCAAGUCGAACGAUGAUGCCCAGCUUGCUGGGCGGAUUAGGGCGAACGGGUGAGUAAUACGUGAGUAACCUGCCCUUGACUCUGGGAUAAGCCUGGGAAACUGGGUCUAAUACUGGAUACUACCUCCUACCGCAUGGUGGGUGGUGGAAAGGGUUUUACUGGUUUUGGAUGGGCACACGGCCUAUCAAGCUUGUUGGUGGGGUAAUGGCUCACCAAGGCGACGACGGGUAGCCGGCCUGAGAGGGUGACCGGCCACACUGGGACUGAGACACGGCCCAGACUCCUACGGGAGGCAGCAGUGGGGAAUAUUGCACAAUGGGCGGAAGCCUGAUGCAGCGACAGCCGCGUGA